rnacentral:rRNA from 1 species
UGGGGAAUUUUGGACAAUGGGCGAAAGCCUGAUCCAGCGACGCCGCGUGAGCGAUGAAGGCCUUCGGGUCGUAAAGCUCUGUCAGGUGGAGUGAAAUAUGGUUGGGAAUAAUACCCUGAUCAUUUGACGGUACCACCGAAGGAAGCACCGGCUAACUCUGUGCCAGCAGCCGCGGUAAGACAGAGGGUGCAAGCGUUGUUCGGAAUUAUUGGGCGUAAAGAGCGUGUAGGCGGCUGGAUUAGUCAGAUGUGAAAGCCCUGGGCUUAACCCAGGAAGUGCAUUUGAAACUGUCCGGCUUGAGUAAGGGAGAGGAAAGCGGAACUCACAGUGUAGCGGUGAAAUGCGUAGAUAUUGUGAGGAACACCAGUGGCGAAGGCGGCUUUCUGGACCAUUUCUGACGCUGAGGCACGAAAGCAUGGGGAGCAAACAGG